GAUGAACGCUGGCGGCGUGCCUAAUACAUGCAAGUCGAGCGAACAGACGAGGAGCUUGCUCCUCUGACGUUAGCGGCGGACGGGUGAGUAACACGUGGAUAACCUACCUAUAAGACUGGGAUAACUUCGGGAAACCGGAGCUAAUACCGGAUAAUAUAUUGAACCGCAUGGUUCAAUAGUAAAAGACGGUUUUGCUGUCACUUAUAGAUGGAUCCGCGCCGCAUUAGCUAGUUGGUAAGGUAAAGGCUUACCAAGGCGACGAUGCGUAGCCGACCUGAGAGGGUGAUCGGCCACACUGGAACUGAGACACGGUCCAGACUCCUACGGGAGGCAGCAGUAGGGAAUCUUCCGCAAUGGGCGAAAGCCUGACGGAGCAACGCCGCGUGAGUGAUGAAGGUCUUCGGAUCGUAAAACUCUGUAAUUAGGGAAGAACAAAUGUGUAAGUAACUAUGCACGUCUUGACGGUACCUAAUCAGAAAGCCACGGCUAACUACGUG
rnacentral:rRNA from 1 species